UACGUAGGGGGCAAGCGUUGUCCGGAAUCAUUGGGCGUAAAGCGCGUGUAGGCGGCCCGGUAAGUCCGCUGUGAAAGUCGGGGGCUCAACCCUCGAAUGCCGGUGGAUACUGUCGGGCUAGAGUGCGGAAGAGGCGAGUGGAAUUCCCGGUGUAGCGGUGAAAUGCGCAGAUAUCGGGAGGAACACCAAUUGCGAAGGCAGCUCGCUGGGACGUCACUGACGCUGAGACGCGAAAGCGUGGGGAGCAAACAGG
rnacentral:rRNA from 1 species